UGGUAUCUCGUAAUUAUUUACAAUUUUAUAUCUUUUUCAGAAUAUAUUUCAUGAUAGUCGUGAAGAUACAGAAGUUGUGAUGGUGUGUUGAUAGGCUGUCUUCAACUUGCCAUAUCUGAGAGUUCCAACAUGCAGGCCUGGAUUAAUGUUUUAUCACAACAAAUGGAUGGGACAGUAGAGUUGUUGCGGACAAUAUGUGAUUGUGAUGACCAAGUACUGAACAAGUGGAAGAUUAGAAGGUCCAGAAUUCAAUCAUGUUUUUGAUUCUAAGGCGCAGACAGCAUGGAGAUAGUCCUAUUAUUCUCCCAUUCAUCUAUGAUGGAGAAACUUGUGUAAAUGUUUACAGUGUUCUCCCUAAUAAGGGCCCACAAGUCUAUUAAUUUAUCAGAAUAUAAAGUCCUUCACAGUACUCAGAAGUACUGACUUUAAAAUUCAUGUAGAUUGUCUCCAGAUUUUUCUGAGGAAAAGUGCAUAGUUCACAUGUGUGAAUUUUGAAUAUAUUUCAUUCUUGUCUGCAAAUGUUGCUGAAACCUGUUAUUGAUACACAUAGUCAUGUUAUGCAAAUGAUAGACCUCCUUUUUAAUUACAUGUCCUUAAGAUCAUGUCAACUCCUUUGUCUUAAUUGUAUAUACAAUUCUAGCAUUUAUAGCAUCAUUUGUAUAGCACUUGCUAGUUUAAUAAGGAUUUUAUUUUUUAAAAACUUUCAUUUGACAUGAUUGAUCUAAAACGGCCAAAAUUCACAAAUCUAUUUAAAUCACAACCUGACCUUAGGCCAGAAAAGUGCCACAGUGGGUUGAUAUUUUUCUCUUCGAUCUUGAAAGAAAUUCUUUAUGCAGCAGUUUCCAAAUAAAAUGUACUCUCAUGGCCAGGGUGGGACUUCACCGAGAACCUUUUAACAUUGCACAAUGCAAUAUUUGUGGAUUAGAAGCUGUUGCAGUUUCUUUAAGUUUUCUCUCACAUCUUGUUAUAAUUAUAUUUUUGGUCGGGUUGCACAAUGUGCAAACAGUUUAUAAAAUGCUGAAUGACUGUUGGGCAAGCGACAAUAGCGUCCCUGUAAUAGUACCUACUUUGUGUAAUCAACUCCUUUCACACCUCUCACUUGAUGUUCCUCAAACUUUGUACAGUUGUUAGGGAUACAUCGAAGAUGUGCGUGUACCUUUUUGAAAGUGAUCAGACAUUUUUUGAAAAAUUUACAUGUAGUUAAACUUCCUCAUUUUUUAAGCAUUUCUUUAAUCGACAGUAUCUAUUUUGUGUAAUCAACUCCUCGUAUACCUCUAAUUUGACAUUCCUCAAACUGUGUACAGUUGUUAUGAAUACAUUGAAGAUGUGCAUAUGUGUUUUUGAAAGUGAUCAGACAUUUUAAAAAAAAAAUGUACAUCUAGUUGAACUUAGUCAUUUUAAAGCAUUUCUUGAAUAGAUGGUAACUAUUUUGUGUAAUCAAAUCCUCAUGCACCUCUAACUUGACAUUCCUUAAAAUUUGUACAGUUGUUAUGAACACAUUGAAGAUGUGCAUGUGUCUUUUUGAAAAUGAUUAGACUUUUUUUUUUUUUUAAUUACGUGUAGUUGAACUUGUUAUUUUUUUAUGCAUUUCUUGAAUAGAUGGUACCUAUUUUGUGUGAUCAACUCGUGCACAUCUAAAUUGAUAUUCCUCAAACUUUGUACAGUAGUUAUGGACACAUUGAAGAUGUGCAUGUGUCUUUUUGAAAGUGAUCAGACUUUUUUCAAAAAAAUUACAUUUAGUUGAACUUUGUCAUUUUUAUAAAGCAUUUCCUGAAUAGUUGGUACCUAUUUUUUGUAAUCAACUCCUCUUACAGCAUUUAUUUGACAUUCUUCAGACCUUGAACAGCUGUUAUGGAAGCAUUGUAAAUGUGCAUGUGUCUUUUCGGAAGUGAUCAGGCAUUCUUUGAAAAAUUUACAUGUGCAUAGUGAAGUUGAACUUAGUCAUUUUUUAAGCAUGGUACUUUAUGUAACCAACUCAUCUUUUACUUAACAUUUUCCAAACCCUGUACAUUAUAGAUGUUAUAAAAACAUUGAAGAUUUACAUCUAACAUUUUAAAAAUGUUUCUCUCUUUUUUUUUCUUUUUUUGUUGUUGUCAUUUUUCCAGUAUGUUUCUACUGUUGUUCCUAUGAUAGAUAACAUAUUUACAAGAACCUGGUCAUUUCUGUUUUUGAAUCUCUCUUUUUUUUAAUUAGUAUUUUUGAAUAUGUUAAUUACUUGAUAUGUCAUUGUUCUUGAAAUUAUAUUAAUUGAAUUAUUAUUGUGUUUUUGUUUUGUAAUAUGACAGUUUAUAUAGGAUCCCUUAAUUUCAAGCAGAUAGUGCCAAAAGUGUGCCGCAAGUUUGCCGCAAACUGUGUGCCAGAAGUGUGCAGCAAGAGCGUGCCGCAAGUUUGCCGCAAACUGUGUGCCAGAGGAAAAAUUUGCAUACGAAAAGUAUACUUGCGGCAAAUAUGCCGCACACUGUGUGCCAGAAGUGUGCAGCAAGUGUGUGCCGCAAGUUUGCUGCAAACUGUGUGCCAGAGGAAAAAUUUGCAUACGAAAAGUAUACUUGCGGCAAAUAUGCCGCACACUGUGCCAGAAGUGUGCAGCAAGUGUGUGCUGCAACUGUGCCACAAACUGUGUGCCAGAGGAAAAAUUUGCAUACGAAAAGUAUACUUGCGGCAAAUGUGCCGCAACUAGUUGCGGCAAACUUGCCGCAAAUGCGCUGCAAAUUUGCAGCAACUGUGUGCCAGAGGGCUUAUAUUUUGGUAAGGGUAUACUACUGGGCAUCCACAACCGGCGAUACCAAUGUUAUAUAUAGCUUCUUCCCUCUAACUGUUGCGUAAAUAACAGCUAGGUAUCUGAAUUUUAAUCAUUAAAUAAAUAGAAAAAUAUAGAUGUUAUAUAAGACAGCAAUACCCACACGCAAGAGUUUGUCUUUAAAUAUUAUCUCCUUCGUGCUUGUGUAACUAGUCAUAAUAGUCAUUUCAUAAUUUGAUUGACUUAGCAUAAAAUGCUCAGGUAAGGAUAUGACCUCUGGGAGGAAUACAUUACUGCUACAUGUACAUCGCCGAAAUAUAUAUUCUUAAUGCACAUAUAAAGAGGUAUUGAUCAUUCCAAUCAGCAAGUGCGUCUGGGUCAUCCCCAACCCCUCAUUCUACAAUACGAAACUUUUGGAAUGUGACGGAACGACCGAUUAUAUUUGACGUUUAUAUACCACGGUCACGUGAUAAUAACUAAUUGUAGGGCAAAGUUGACAUCGAUACAAAUGGAGUUUACGGACCGUAAAGAGCUACAUGUAUGUUCAGUCCUACGAUGAAGAUCCAAGUCACUAUUGGUGCUUAGUACCUGGGUGUAAAUUAGAUGGAAGGGAAAAGGCGCAUUUAGACGCGUAUCAUUGGAUGCAAGGCGUGAAGUUUUACCGAUAUCCUCAAGAUGUUCUCUAGAUUUAUUUCCCUCGCCAACUCACACAAUUUGAUCAAAUGCAUUUUCCUAUAAAAUGGUUGUAGUGAUUCCUUUUUUUAAAAGAUAGCAUUUAAAUGCAGGGAUUUGAUAGCAAUUGAAAUAUAACAUGUUUGUUUACUUAAUUGUUAUUGUAAUCCGAAAGUGACAUGCCCUACAAAUUACGUUCAACGCGCAAUAAAAGUCAGAGUGGAUCCGUAUCCUGAGAGUAUCACUCAAAUAUCUUCAAAACAGACGAGAUCCUCACCGGUACCAUAUACAUUCUAACUGCAUAUGACAAUUAAGAUGCAUUGAGUAUUCUGUUUGGCAAGUACCCUGGGGUAAUCCAAAACCCCAUUUCAUAAUUGUUGAAAUAUAUUUAAAACAAAUUGAGGUCCUGACCCCAAAACCAUUGAUAGUCUUGCUGCACAUGAGCAGUGUGAUGAGUAAGUGCCCUAUGAUCAUCCCAAGCCAAACCCAAUUUGAGUUUAGAAUUGUUAAAAUGGUUCAGCACGUAUUUACACUUGGCACCAAGUUUUUCUUCUUCGUUUUCCCACCCCAUUUGCCCCUCAGUGUGAAAAAGAAAAUUCCGAAAACCUAUUGCACAUCUAAAGGACACCACCAUUCAUCUACAAAAAGAUGAUUUCGCUACUGCAUAAAAUGUAAGAGGAAUUCUGGGAAUCAGGUUUUUCUAUAGAAUAACGUCAUUUUCAACCUGGCCCUAAUAUGAUGGGUUUUUUGGAUGAUCCUGGAGUACCUGCAAUUACUCAUCAGAACAAUCAAUGCAUCUUGAUAUGUGCAGUCAAUUUCUAGAGAAUGAACAGAAAGGGCCGGAGAAAAUGAGUGUGUUGUAGUAACUCAGCAUCCAAGCUAUUAUCCAGACCGGGCUUAAAUUUAUUAGGACCCUACACUCUUAUUGAAACCCUAGAUCAAUUAAUUAUUGUAGAUUAAGAGUGUUUCGUCGGCGUUUUGGAUAUCAAUGUUCAUUCACACAGGCCUGCCUCAUCAUUGCCAAUGAAAUUAAAUGGUAAAUUGUCCUGUACAUGCUUCAGCUUUCAGUCAUAACAAGAUCACGAUGUUCUUGUGUUUACCAUCAGCUUAAAUAGGGCCCGAAUAAAUUUGAUGACAUGUCUGGAUGAUAGGGUGCUAAGCUAUUACAACACAACAGUUUUGAAAAUGUGCAAGAUUCCUAUUUGUCAAUAUAAAACAAGGGGCGUGCCAAUUAUGUUCAAAAUGUGAGGAUAUCAGAAGUGAGAGAUACGUUACUUUCACCCGACUCUACGAUUGAACGAUUUGUUAUGUUCAGGUUCAUGGUAGAUACGUUAAAUAAUCUUUCAUUUCAAUGGUCUUAUGAACUCUUGUGCCCUUUACUUUGAAAAUUAGAUUGGAGAUAUCGUCGAAAUAAGUGUAUUACCUUUCAGAAUCAAAAGACACCAUAUUGAUGUCAGGUGAUAUUGAGGCAAAUGAGCAGAAAGACAAAACAAAAGCUUUGCACUUAAAUUUACAUCAGAAGUAAUGCAUUACUUUUAAUUUAACGGACACACGAUCCCAUUCCUUGUGUUACAGUAUAUGCCUUUGAAAUAGAAACGUUAAAUUUCAUACAUUUCCGUAUAAUGGGCAAUUGAUCAUGAGUAGCAAGCGACCUAAAAUCUUCUCAUUUAAAUGAUAAUACUGUCAGAGUACAAUCUCCGACAUGAUUUUAGGUCUCUGGGGGUCACUUAGUUUGAACUAUAGUAAUUGACAUAUGAUAAAAUUUUAAAGAAAAACAUAUAGCAUUUUAAUUUUCUCUCUGUAUUUGAGAUUUGUAUGGUAUUUAAGUAUUGAUGUACACAUGUACAAGCAAAUCUUUAUUUCCGCACGUAAUCGAAAAAUCGAAUACUUUUCUCUUGGCCUUAAUAUAUUGCAUAUGCCAGGACAGAUUUAAAGCCUAUCCGGUUUAUCACGUAUCUUGUCUGGACUUAGUUAUCUGACGCAACGUAUCCCAUCAAAGAAAGCAACAGAAUUAUAAAAGAGCGCCGCUAACAACUCUUUAUAUUUCGGUAUUUUCAAAAUCAAAUUUGUCACGUAGGGCUCACAGUAGAUGUGCUUUUUCCUCCUGGGCAUUAGAGCCCACAUCUCUGGUAUAUCCAGGGGUCCGUGUUUGCCCUUCUCUUCAUUUUGUAAAUUUUGAUCACUCUACACUUUUACAUAUAUUUCAUCUUGCAUUCUUUAUAGGAUUUAUAAAAUUGAUUACUCAUCGUUCCUUUUCUUUUCUAAAUCAUGUAUAUAUAUAAAUCAUUUCGUUUUUUGUCAAUCACUUGCUUUAAAUUAAAGACUUACGUACUAAACUCCUCAUAGAACUUAUCUCCCAAACAUGUUGUUUACUUUCGUUAUUUCAGAGUUGAAAAACAGUAACAGCCUAGCACUAACAAAACCGCUCAGUACAGUCUAGGCAACUCUCGGAAGUAUUGAUUUCUACCCCUGCGCGCAUGACCCAAAUGACGCAUUUGUUUACAAACACAAUAACGAAAACACAGUAUGCAAUCAGCUGACCGCCUGAGCCGGGUUGAAAAUAGUUAAUGCAAUGUUACUGUUGAUUGAUUGCUUUGGCGCUUUGGUAAAUAAAAUAGGUUAAAUAAAACUUUUGUUUAUUUUGGAACUUUGUCAAAUAGAUAUAAAUGGGUAUAGAAUGAUUUGUAAAACUUCAGUCACAGUGCUGAGCUGAGCUGUACAUUGCAUUGCAAAACUCUGCACUGGAAUUUUAAGAUUUUACCUUUUAAAUCUAUAAAUGAAAAGAAAGUUAAAGCAACAAGAAAACGGUCAGAUAUUGACAUAAUAUGCGGGGAUUAUUUUCCACCUGAAGGACACUGUGCCAUUUUGAUUUGUGGAGAGCAAUUAGAUGAUGAGUUGAUCAAGUCAUAUUUAUAUUUUGGGGGAUCAAGACAUACAGGAGUCUACAUGGUGUCUGGGAUCAAGCCCAUUUAUUAUUUCAUAUGUUAUCUCUGAAAAUGAUGUUAUUAGUGAUAUUAAAAGAUGCGACACAUUUGUCUGUAAUUGUUGGAUCCAAUGAUGCAAUACAUGUAGGGGAGGAAUGGAUACAUCAUCUAUGAGAGUUUUGCAUGACUUAUAUCUUCUCAAACGGAAAGGUGCAAAGUUUGAGGUUAUCCUUGCACAAGACAGUAAAGAUGAGAGGAAUGUAACUAAAAUCAAACAAACUGCGGAUGUUCCACUCGGCAGAUUCGGGCAUUCUCUUACAAAAUUACAUGAUCAGUCAGCAAUAUUACAUGGGGGAAUUACACUGCCCUUUCGUGAAGCAGCAGGACUUGCAUCCCCAUUUCAAGAAACAUGUGAUGAUGGAAAAUUCUAUUUACUUAAUUUAGACUCAUUGAGCUGGUCCAUAAUUAAUGUUCCAGAUGUCCAUAGCAGAGCAUUUUAUACUGCUACAUAUGAUCAAAAAAUGAAAUGUAUAUACAUAAUUGGAGGAGUGACAUAUCAGGAAUGUACCCCAAGGUCACGCCUGCCAGUUCAUGAUGUACUGGUUUUGAGAAUCCCUGAUAAAAACAACAUCACUUUGGACAGGAUCAUAUUUCAGUCACCACCCAAUAUUGAAAACCUUGGGCUGUCAUAUCACAGUGACAUAUCAGGAAUGUACCCCAAUGUCACGCCUGCCAGUUCAUGAUGUACUGGUUUUGAGAAUCCCUGAUAAAAAUAACAUCACUUCUAGAAGAUGGUAAAGUGAUAAUUGUGGGAGGUUUUACACAAAUAGGACAGUUUCAAGCAGAUGAACAACCUUCAAAUCAUUUGAAAUAACAAUCCUGAAAAGUUCCAAGACUUCAACCUCGUAUGGUUUCAACGGAUAUGAUUUUUUAUUACACUUUAAUCCACAAACCCUGCAAAUGUGCACCAAAUUUACCAAAUGUGCAUCCAUAUUUAUUACAACUAGGCGCAGGCUAAACAAAGAAAUACACAAUAUUCACAAUGCACAAUUCUGAACACAGCAUGCAGCAAUACGAGCGUGAGCUGAGUGAUUUACAAAUGGCUGACAAAAUGUCCGACAAGACCUUGUUCAACCGCUUGGGUUAAGUAAACAUGACCCUAAAUUCUGAAUAAAGACUCUCGACAUGUCAACAAUGAAACGAAAGUAGAGUAUUCAUUUUAUUCAUACCAAAAUAUCUCUUUCUUGUACAUAAAUCAGCUUUUUAUUUAUGAAUUUUCAAAGUUAGCAUGUCAUCUUAAGUCCAAGAAGCAAUCCUAAACACACUACUACUUCAAAAACUAAUAUUUACCGAAUGUUCACCAUUUCUUCUUCACGAACUAGCUACGUGACGGGAAAUUC